rnacentral:rRNA from 1 species
UACGUAGGGUCCGAGCGUUGUCCGGAAUUAUUGGGCGUAAAGGGCUCGUAGGCGGUCCUAUAAGUAUGGUGUGAAAUCUCCCGGCUUAACUGGGAGGGUGCGCUAUAGACUGUGGGACUAGAGUGUGGGAGAGGAAAGUGGAAUUCCUGGUGUAGCGGUGAAAUGCGUUGAUAUCGGAAGGAACGCCGGUGGCGAAAGCGACACACUGGAUCUUGUCUGACGCUGAGGCACGAAAGCCAGGGGAGCGAACGGG